rnacentral:rRNA from 1 species
GACGAAUGCUGGCGGCGUGCUUAACACAUGCAAGUCGAACGGUGAGCAGGAGCUUGCUCCUGGGAUCAGUGGCGAACGGGUGAGUAACACGUGGGCAACCUGCCCCUCACUCUGGGAUAACUCCGGGAAACCGGGGCUAAUACCGGAUACGACCUGGAGCGACAUCUCUCCAGGUGGAAAGAACUUCGGUGAGGGAUGGGCCCGCGGCCUAUCAGCUAGUUGGUGGGGUAACGGCCUACCAAGGCGACGACGGGUAGCCGGCCUGAGAGGGCGACCGGCCACACUGGGACUGAGACACGGCCCAGACUCCUACGGGAGGCAGCAGUGGGGAAUAUUGCGCAAUGGGCGAAAGCCUGACGCAGCGACGCCGCGUGAGGGACGACGGCCUUCGGGUUGUAAACCUCUUUCAGCAGGGACGAAGCGAAAGUGACGGUACCUGCAGAAGAAGCACCGGCUAACUACGUGCCAGCCGCCGCCGUAAUAC